UCUUAAUUUAUUUAUUAAAUAUCAACAAUUGGUAUCUAGAGCCUUCUUCUUGAGGGAUAUGUGAGUAGAAGAAUGUAUUCAAAAAAUUGUUCUUCACGAAUGUCUCCUCCUAUUUUUGAUGGUUAGAACUAUCAAUUAUGGGUUGCGAGAAUACAAACUUACUUGGAGGAGCUUGAUAUUUGGGGAUAUGGAAGAGGAUUAUGAAAUCUAUCUGCUGCAAAAUAAUCCCAUCAUGCCCCAAAUCAAGAGUCACAAGGAAAAGAAGACCAUUAAGUCGAAGGCAAAAGAACCUUUUUUUGUUACUAUUUUGACAACCAUUUUCACGAAAAUCAUGACUCUAAUAUCAUCAAAGAUAUUUAGAAUUAUCUGAAGAAAGAAUAUGUUGAAAAUGAAAGAAUACGAGGCAUGAAAGUAUUAAAUUUAAUUAGGAAAUUCGAAUUACAAAAAAUGUAAGAGGAAAUGAAAGAGUAAGAAAAAAUCAAGGAAUACUCUGAGAGGAUUGCUUCAUAUUGUCAACAAGGCACAGGAAUAAAGGAGGCUUAUAAGGAAAGAUGACAUGGUUAAAGGAGCAUUAAUAUCUAGCCAGAAAACUCAAAGAAAGGGUAAAUUUUUGAAAAAUCACUCACCUUGUACGCAUUGGAAAAAAUGGACAUCCUCCAUAUAAAUGUUGGAAAAGACUAUAUGCACAGUUAUAAAUCUUCAACCAACUUGGUCAUGAAGCUCUUAUUUGCAAAAGAAAAUUUAAAAAAGACAAAAGUGUUAGAUGUUUUAAUUAAUUAUGUAAGUUCCUUCUUUCCUAGUUUUAAUGGUAUAUGGUUGCUAUUUCAAAGUUA